AUGGGGCACGGCCGCUUAAAGGAGCCGGCGAGCGCCGCCACUGCGGUAAUGAGUUGGGUCCGGUCUCAGCGUGGCGGGCGCAGAGGGAAGGAGAGCCACGCCUCCCGAGCUACCUCCGCCCCCGCCGCCUCCGCCCCGCCUCUCCCGCCGUGUGAGGCGGCGGGCGGGAGUGAGGGGGGGAAGCUCCCGCCGCGCCUGCGGAGGGGCGGAGGGGAAAUAAUAAGAGUUAAAAAUAAGAAUAAUAACAGUAAUGCGGGAGAACCGGCGCUGCCCUCCCCCAUCCCGCUACCAUGGGGCUGCCGGUGGUCCUGGGGCAGCCCCGUUCCUGCGGUACCCCGCUUGCCCCCCUCGUUCACUGUGCUUUCGGCGCCCCGCGGAAACUUUGGCCACAACAACCGCGGCCGCCCCUGGGGGAAGCGGGGAGGGGCGGCCCGCCCAGCCUGCCGCGCAGAAAUGCGGGAUUCCCACCCGUUUGCUUAUUUUACAGUAAAAAAAAAAAAACGUACUCAAGAUGCUUCUACUUCCCCCCGCCCCAGCCUUGUGCGAGUUAAAGGCUGGAGGCGCACCAGGAGCUUCUCUAUGCUCUCCAUUCCGCAGCUUUCCGUUAUAUACGGCCAUACCCCUCGCACUGCGCCCGCGGGCACCGGGGCCACAUCUAUCCCCCUCACACCGCGGGGUAACGGGGCACCGACGCAGCGAGUGAGGGGACUCUGCCACACUCAAGAUGGCGCCGAGAGCCCUUCGUGGGGCAACCACACGGUGUUACCAUCCCCUGGGAGCCGCUCCGCCGCUCACAACGGCCCCGGUGGUGAGACAGCGCCGUGGGUGUACAGUCCCCGGCGCGGAAAACGCAAAGCAAAAGGUGAAGGGGUGGGAAAAACGCCCCUCCAAACGGAGCAGAGCGGCUGCCACACUCAACAUGGCCGGCGGACCGAGGCAGAACUUGUCCUCGGAGGGCGGGAUAUAGGGAUCGAGCAAUGUGGAUUGGUCGGCAGCGCCAGGCGAACACUGUGCUGA
rnacentral:lncRNA from 1 species